AUUGAACGCUGGCGGCAGGCCUAACACAUGCAAGUCGAACGAGUGGCGGACGGGUGAGUAAUGUCUGGGAAACUGCCUGAUGGAGGGGGAUAACUACUGGAAACGGUAGCUAAUACCGCAUACCCUCAGAUGUGCCCAGAUGGGAUUAGCUAGUUGGUUGGGUAACGGCUCACCGAGGCGACGAUCCCUAGCUGGUCUGAGAGGAUAACCAGCCACACUGGAACUGAGACACGGUCCAGACUCCUACGGGAGGCAGCAGUGGGGAAUAUUGCACAAUGGCGGCAAGCCUGAUGCAGCCAUGCCGAGUGUAUGAAGAAGGCCUGCGGGUUGUAAAGUACGUUCAGCGGGGAGGCGUUACCCGCAGAAGAAGCACCGGCUAACUCCGUGCCAGCAGCCGCGGUAAUAC
rnacentral:rRNA from 1 species